rnacentral:lncRNA from 1 species
GUGAGCCACCAUGCCUGAUCCCAACUCCAAUUUUUAAGAGUCAUAUUCAGUGACUGCCCUCUCACCCAGAGCACUGUUAUUUCUACUAUUUCAUUUUUAGAGUGACUCCAGUUCCACAUUCCUCCUCCUACACUGCUUAUAUACCCACCUUGCAGUUUCAAUGGGAAUAUUAAAAUACUCACAGAUGAAAAACCAGACAGAAGACAUCUCAGAUGGUUUUCCCUCACCCCCAACAGAUUUUUAAUUCAUUCAUUUCUCCUCAAUCUGGCCUACAGAGAAGGGAGAGGCUGAAAUGAAAGUAACAGCUGCUUCUCAACGGUGGAGGAGCAUGAGGAUGUCAGUGUGUCGCGCUUGACAGCUGUGAACAAUCUUAGAACAUAAUUAUGUAACCUCCUGCAUGUGGAGCUUUCCACCCUUCCAGAACACUCUCAUGUGUCCCUGAGCUUUAUUCUUACAGCAACCCAGGGAGCUGAUCAGCAUGAAUGAGGCUGGAAGGAGGCUCAGAGAAUCCAUCUUCCCAGUGAACUUGAAACACAAGAAGCAAGUGGAGCAGAGGGGAGAGAAUCUCUUUGAAAACGCAGUGGGAGACAGAGCCAAGUAACGGAAAGAAACAAGGACUAGUGACAUCAUUUGACUCCUUUGAUCAAGUCACCUCUAACCAUGAACUUUUCACUGAC